UAGGGAAUCUUCGGCAAUGGGGGCAACCCUGACCGAGCAACGCCGCGUGAGUGAAGAAGGUUUUCGGAUCGUAAAGCUCUGUUGUAAGAGAAGAACGUGUGUGAGAGUGGAAAGUUCACACAGUGACGGUAACUUACCAGAAAGGGACGGCUAACUACGUGCCAGCAGCCGCGGUAAUACGUAGGUCCCGAGCGUUGUCCGGAUUUAUUGGGCGUAAAGCGAGCGCAGGCGGUUUAAUAAGUCUGAAGUUAAAGGCAGUGGCUUAACCAUUGUUCGCUUUGGAAACUGUUAAACUUGAGUGCAGAAGGGGAGAGUGGAAUUCCAUGUGUAGCGGUGAAAUGCGUAGAUAUAUGGAGGAACACUGGUGGCGAAAGCGGCUCUCUGGUCUGUAACUGACGCUGAGGCUCGAAAGCGUGGGGAGCAAACAGG
rnacentral:rRNA from 1 species